rnacentral:lncRNA from 1 species
CACGGUGUCCCCAUUUGUCCUCGAGGUUCAUGGCAGGAAGCAAAUCAGACACCUGGCCCAGUCGCCUCUCUGAUAAGGAGUGGGAGAGAAUGCCAGCCAUGCAUUUCGCGACUCUCCCUCUGCUCGUUCCCAGAAGCACACAUUGAAGCUUCCUUUCCAGGGAAAGAAAAAGGCCACAUUUCUGGGAAAAAACACAGUCACUUGAAAAAUAACCAAGCACUCGCUGCACAUAAAACAUCUGCUGCGUGCAGACCACUUGGUGCAGCCACGACGCGGAGGAGAGUGAAGACGGGCAAUUCCGGGGCGGUCGUGUCAUCUUUCUGGAUCCAACCAACUUAUACGAGCUUCUUGGAUGCGAAUGAAAAUCUCGUGAAUUGUCCAGCAAGUUGACAUUCCUUUCUAGAUCCAGCACAUACAACUCUCUCCAGACAAUGAAAGGUGAGAAGGCUGGAAAGGAAACCGAAUCCUGCAGUGUCUAAUCAAUUUUAAUCGAAUCUGCUAAUUGAAUCAUCCACAUCCUUUAAAAAGGGACAUGGAAAUCAUGGAAGCAAGCCUCUGUUUUGGUGCAUUCUUCAUCCCUCAUGGCAUGUCAAAAAAAUUGAAUUUCUCACAGUGGAGAAAGAGUCUGUCAAAGUUAACUUUACCUGGAGCUAAUAAAUUAUUAUAUUUCAUCCAAAGGGUUUCCAAUAAGUAGUUAUUCAAAGACUCAAUUUUUCAAUUAAUGUCUCCAAAUGCUUUUCUG